rnacentral:rRNA from 1 species
ACGAGUCGUUACGGGGUUGUUUGCUGGCUUCCGUCACGGGGGCAUGUGCACGCCUCGCAUCCACUUCAACCUCACCCGUGCACUUCAGAGGACCUCUUCGGUCUUCUUUCACACAAACCACACAAUGUCAUAGUAGAACGUUUUUGUUAUUAAACAAUACAACUUUCAACAACGGAUCUCUUGGCUCUCGCAUCGAUGAAGAACGCAGCGAAAUGCGAUAAGUAAUGUGAAUUGCAGAAUUCAGUGAAUCAUCGAAUCUUUGAACGCACCUUGCGCUCCUUGGUAUUCCGAGGAGCAUGCCUGUUUGAGUGUCGUGUAAUUCUCAAUCCCGAUCGGUUUUGGCCGACUUCGAGAUUGGAUUUGGGAGUCUGCUGUGCCUUGCAUUAGGUCCGGCUCUCCUUGAAUGCAUUAGCUCGGUCACGUAGUUGCCCGACGGUUCACGGUGUGAUAGUUUAUCUUCAUCGCCGUUCUGACCGCUCGGUGCCUGUGUUCGCCGGCUUCUAAUACCGUGUCUCGGACAUGACUUCUUUAACGCUUGACCUCAAAUCAGGUAGGACUACCCGCUGAACUUAAGCAUAUCAAUAGGCCCGGAGGAAUAAC